rnacentral:misc_RNA from 1 species
UUCCAUUAGAAUCAGCAUUAUGAUGGAAUGGAGACAAGAGUUCCCCUGAAUGAGACGACUUACGGGAUUUCAGAUGCCUUGGAGAAGCAGAAUAUGAAUCACUGGAACUGGAUGUAGAAUACAUUGACGAUGUUGGCAGUCCAUGGAUCCUCGGUAAUCCCGUUGGAUCAGCACCCAUAUUGUAUCCCUUUUCAACUGUUUCAGCCUCCAGA